rnacentral:rRNA from 1 species
AACGAACGCUGGCGGCGUGCCUAACACAUGCAAGUCGAACGAGAAAGCGGGCUUCGGCCCGUGAGUAAAGUGGCAGACGGGUGAGUAACACGUGAGCAACCUGCCCCACAGACCGGGAUAGCCCAGGGAAACCUGGAUUAAUACCGGAUACCCUCCUAGGACCGCAUGGUCCAUUGAGGAAAUACCUUUGUGCUGUGGGAUGGGCUCGCGACUUAUCAGCUAGUUGGUGGGGUAACGGCCUACCAAGGCAUUGACGAGUAGCUGGUCUGAGAGGACGAUCAGCCACACUGGAACUGAGACACGGUCCAGACUCCUACGGGAGGCAGCAGCAGGGAAUCUUGCGCAAUGGGCGAAAGCCUGACGCAGCGACACCGCGUGGGGGAUGAAGGCCUUCGGGUUGUAAACCCCUUUCAGCGGGGAAGAUAAUGACGGUACCCGCAGAAGAAGCCCCGGCUAACUCCGUG